rnacentral:lncRNA from 1 species
ACAAUAUACGUACUAUACACACACAUAUCAGAUCUCUCUCUUCUCUUCUCUUUCUUUUCUCUCAAAACAAAAAUGUCGGCCCUCAGAGCUCCGGUGAACAAGCUCCAGCCACCACCACAACACCCCUCGACUCUCUCCUCCCCUUCUCAUAGCCGAACAACCCCACCACCAUCUGAUUUCGGUGAUUCAAAGCCUCCAGCGCCGCCCUUUCCCCCCUAUUUUUUACGUUGCUGCUUCACCGGAGGUUAUGACCGGCGAAGCUUGGAUGCUUUCACUGCAUUGUCACUCCUUUAUCCUAUCUUUGCACUUUAUUUUUUUAAUUUCUUACAGAUCUAGGUGGAUUUGAUUAUCUGGCGUUACUUCGGCGAACGCCGUUGAAGCAGCGUUGUUGUGCUGCUGCCACCACAUCGUUACCGCCACUCUUUGGUGUUUUGUCUUAUUUUUGUUUAUUGUGAAUAUUAUGUUUCUCCGGUUGAUGCACCAUUUUCUCUCCAUUUAUUAUUAUUGCUCAUCGGAAAUACAUUCUUUAAUUGAGUUUUUCACUAAUUUAUGUGUUGUUGUGUAUUUUGUUUCCUUUAUUUGGCUGGAUAUAAUUUAUUUAUUGUGUUUUGUUCUCUUCCGGGAAAGAAGAAGUGUUAUGAUUAAGUUUCAAUGGAUUCCGACAACGUCAUGAUUAUUUUUGUUGGUUAUUUCUGUAUUUUUGUUAUUGUUCACUGCCAAGGAAUUAAUUUUUGCUAUAUUUGUCGACAACUAUGUCAGUGUUUAGGUGUUCCCAUUUAUUUUUAUUGCCUUCCACUUUCUGUUUAAUUUUUGGAUUGAUAUCUUUUCAUUUUUGACCUUUUUGGCUUAUUAACCUGAUUUGAACAACAUGCUAUACAUUGGCCG